CCUACGGGGCGCAGCAGUGGGGAAUAUUGCACAAUGGGGGAAACCCUGAUGCAGCGACGCCGCGUGAGUGAAGAAGUAUUUCGGUACGUAAAGCUCUAUCAGCAGGGAAGAAAAUGACGGUACCUGACUAAGAAGCCCCGGCUAACUACGUGCCAGCAGCCGCGGUAAUACGUAGGGGGCAAGCGUUAUCCGGAUUUACUGGGUGUAAAGGGGGCGCAGACGGCGAUGCAAGCCAGGAGUGAAAGCCCGGGGCCCAACCCCGGGACUGCUCUUGGAACUGCGUGGCUAGAGUGCAGGAGGGGCAG
rnacentral:rRNA from 1 species